rnacentral:lncRNA from 1 species
ACUUCUAGGCUUGGUUGAGCCGCGCAGGAAGGUCCGAGGCUGGGGGAGCAGCCGUUGGCUCUGGUGCCCCUGGGGGUGGGAGCACGAGUGGGCAAGGAUGAUGGUGAGGCAGAGGAGGCGGCCCCGAGGGAGCGCCCGGCUGAGAGGCGGGGGGCCGAGGGGCCCGGGGAGCGGGCGUCACCGAGGGCCCUGGAAGCGGCAGGGCUGGGGGAGAGGAGACGCGUGUGUGGAGCAUGGGGACCCCAGCCCAGCUCCCACUUGCAGACCUGGGCCGCGGGCUGCCGGCCGAGUGGCCGGGGGGCCUGGCUGCCCAGGAGGCGGGCCGGGGCCGCGGCCGGGGGCGCGGAGCGGAGUUAGGGUCGCCAGGCCGAGCCGAGGUGGGACGGACCGACGCAGAGAGGAAGGGAAGCCACCUGGCCUGAAGAUCCUGUCUCUAAGAUCCCAUUCUGAGGCUUCGAGGGUCUGGCUUGAGCAGCACAGACAGGGACGUGUCUAACCGGGAUGACCAUGAGGUCUCAUCGCAGUUUGCCACUAACCAGGUCCACGCUGCUUUUAUGAGCUGUAACACUCACCGCGAAGAUCUGCAGCUUCACUCCUGAGCCCAGCGAGACCACGAGCCCACCGGGAGGAACAAACAACUCCAGACGCGCUGCCUUAAGAGCUGUAACACUUGCCGUGAAGGUCUGCAGCUUCACUCCUGAGCCAGCGAGACCACGAACCCACCAGAAGGAAGAAACUCCGAACACAUCUCAACAUCAGAACGGACAGACUCCAGACGCACCACCUUAAGAGCUGUAACACUCACCGCGAGGUUCCGCGGCUUCAUUCUUGAACAAUGAAUCCUCCAAUGUACCUGACUCUCCCUUUGCGAAGAGCAUCUCCGUGGCAGAAAUCUGAAAAUGCCCCUGGGGAGACACAUGCACAAGACAGUGAGUGAUGCAGCCGUUUCCCACGUAUCUCACAAUGUACUUCUCUGGUCUUAUUAGAACUAAAUGAGUAUCUCAGUCCAUAAUCACAGGGAGAAGAACCACCACAGACCACAUACCUGGGGUCUUGAAAAUAAUUCCAUGCAUGUGGGACUUUCAGAAGCUCUCCAUGUCUGUCCAGAAGGGCCCCACAAUAUACUGGGGGGACUUUGUAUGUGGCUCAGCAUGGAGCAGGGGCAGGAUGUUCAUUCCCACUCAUCCCCUUGGCCAAGUGCCCUUGUGCAGUGAACAAACUGCACAACCAUGCUGGGCAGAAGCAUUUUAUAUCAGUCCCCUUCGGACUUAGUCUCACAGGCAUCAUUUGAUGGGGGGUGGGAGAUGAAGUGGUUCUUCCUUUUCUAGAUACUUUAUUCUAUAAGUUGGAUCACCUCAAGCAAAUGCCUGAGUGCAGCUAGCCAAGUUCUCUAUCUCACAGUCUUCAUACAGCUGGCUGUCGCUGAUGAGUGAGUGAGCUGCGAAAUCAGCUUAAACCACAACAUGUUAUUUUUGAAUUUGAAUAAAAUAGGAAAAGGCAGAGUGCAUUGUGUGACCAUGGGGUAAGACACUCUCCCUUUCUCCUUCUCAGUUUUCCUGUCAUAAAAGGACAAACUACUAUCUAAGUUCUCCGUAGUUAAAAUUCUUUUUUGUUGUUUUUUUUUAUUUGAGACAGUUUGGCUCGUUCCCCAGGCUGGAGUGCAAUGGUGCUAUCUUGGCUCCCUGCAACCUGCGCCUCCUGGUUUCAAGCAGUUCUCCUGCCUCAGCCUCCCAAAUAGCUGGGAUUACAUGCCUGUGCCACCACACCCAGCUAAUUUAGUAUUUUUAGUAGAGAUGGGGUUUCACCAUGUUGGUCAGGUUGGUCACGAGCUCCUAACCUCAAGUGAUCCCAAAGUGCUGUGAUUACAGGCGUGAGCCAUCCUGCCUGGCCUUUCUGGUUAAAAUUCUGUGAGGUUUGUGUAAAAGGAAUAGAGUGGGGGCGCAAAAACCAGUAAGAUGAGAAAAUAGUGUUUCCUCAGUUCUAGUAUCCAGGGGAAAAAAAGAAAAGAGAAAAUACUGUUUCCUGCCACUUAAGAGGAAGGACUCACAUAUCCUACCUUCCAUCAGCCUUGAAGGAGACAAGUGCCCUCUCUCUCACACCCGGUGGCCUUCCCUUCCCCUUUCCCAGAGCCUCCAAGAAGGCCCCUGGCCUGGCCUGAUGCCCACCAUCAGCAGCAAUAGGCACCAAAACCUUUCUCCUUCCUAUCCCUCCCCACCUCCCAAAAGGGCUGGGGACAGCAGGUGUAUCCUUGUUAGUUCCAUCAUGAGACAGCACAUUCCUACAAUGUCGUACAGAUGUAAAUUCUCAAAUUAAUCUACAAAUUUAACGUAAUCCUAUUCAAAUCCCAAGAUAGUUUUUGGUGGUGGCUGUUUUUAAGACAGGGCCUCGCUGUGUUGCCCAGGCUAGAGUGCAGUGGUACGACCACAGCUCACUGCAUCCUCGACCUCCCAGGCUCAAGCGAUCCUCCCACUUCAGCCUCUGAAGUCUCUCAUAUGGUGUCCAAGAAAUGGUGACAAAUCUCACAAAGGGACUAGGCUCAGCACGGCUGGAAUAUUCAGGGAAGGUGUCAAGAAGAAAGAUGAACUUGUGUUGGCUUUUGAGAGAUGCAUAGGACUCCCACAGGCAGAGUGAAAUAAGGGCAUUUUAGAUGGACAAACACACAGACAGAAGCAGAAAUGUGGGUGGUGUGACUGGGGUAUAGUGAGGGGCUGCUGUGGCUGGAAUGGAGGGCUGCCACAAUAAUGGAAAUGGUAAAUGAGGCAAAUAAGGUUGGACUGGUGGCAUAGCGUCAAGGUUGCCAGCUUUAUUAAAUCACUCUUCCAAUAUGCUAGCACUGGCCUGUUGGGAAAAGUAAUAUAUCAUGUAAUCGAACAAAAGACAAACAGAGGCAAGCUCCAGGAAUGGGCACUGUAAACAGGACUUGCCCCAGAGUAGCCAGAUGUAGGCUUUAGAUAAGUUGAUGCAGGCUGAGCAUCUCUAAUCUGAGGGGGAAUGUCUCACAUGGUGUCCAAGAAAUGGUGACACAUCUCACAGAGGGUCUAGGCUCAGGAGGGCUAGAGUAUGAGACGUUCCCCCUCGCCUGUGAACUUAAAAAUGUGGCCAACAAUUUUUGUAAAAGAUGGCUACUCUGUAGUGCUUUAACUGGACCUAUUUAGACAAUGCCUUACACACUGGAGGACGAUACUGUGUAAAUCUAAUAAGUCUACAAGACAAUACUUCUGUCUUUUGGCUCUCUCCUUCCUCUCCAGGGUGAUGACAAAUCCGUGAGGGUGGAGAUUAUACCUCUCUCAUCAUUUCAGCACCAAGGAAAUAAAUUAGUGGCAGAGUAAGGGUGACUUGAUGAGUACAUCCAAUUGUUGACAUAGUUUUGGGUGGAGAAAUUUUGCUAUUAUAUCGACUUCUUAAAAUAGUCUAGUGGGAUUAACUUGGUUUCAAUUCACAGAGAUCUGGAAGCGAGGAUCUUUUAAAAAUCCUGAAAUAUACACUGCAAUAAAAGAACAAAGCAUACACCUCAGCCUUAAAUGACUGAAGAAGUAUGUCAAGUAGCAGCAGGUGGGAAAGUGGCUUUGGUUUUCAGUUUGUGAGCUCUGAAUCCACACAGAAACAGGACUGCAUUCUGACAACCUGAAUUAAUUAUUGUCCUUACCACAAUGAGGCAGAAAAGUAUAAUAAAAAUCAUUAGUAUUUCAGUCACAAUUAAUGCCAAGAUGAGUUUGUCAGUAUAGCCAUAUCCUGGAACUUAUUUUGUGAGCUAAAAAAAACAAAAAAACAAAACAAAAAAAAACACACCAGAAUGAGAGCUAACUAUUCAAAACCCCAGUAUUCCAGGUGAGUAGCUUACAGGUUCUUUUUUAUUUUUUUGAAAGAGGGUCUCACUCUGUUACCCAGGCUGGGGUACAGUGGUGCAAUCACCGUUCACUAGACUCGACCUCCCUGGGCUCAGGUGACCCUCCCACCUCAGCCUCCCAAGUAGCUGGGA